AACGAACGCUGGCGGCAUGCCUAACACAUGCAAGUCGAACGUGAUCCUGGGUUUCGGCCUGGGUGAAAGUGGCAGACGGGUGAGUAACGCGUGGGAACCUGCCCUGUGGUAGGGAAUAACUGCGGGAAACUGCGGCUAAUACCCUAUGUGCCCUGAGGGGCAAAGAUUUAUCGCCAUGGGAGGGGCCCGCGUCGGAUUAGGUAGUUGGUAGGGUAACGGCCCACCAAGCCUUCGAUCCGUAGCUGGUCUGAGAGGAUGAUCAGCCACACUGGGACUGAGACACGGCCCAGACUCCUACGGGAGGCAGCAGUGGGGAAUAUUGGACAAUGGGCGCAAGCUUGAUCCAGCCAUGCCGCGUGAGUGAUGAAGGCCCUAGGGUUGUAAAGCUCUUUCGCACGCGACGAUAAUGACGGUAGCGUGAGAAGAAGCCCCGGCUAACUUCGUGCCAGCCGCCGCCGUAAAAC
rnacentral:rRNA from 1 species